GUAGCGGUGAAAUGCAUAGAUAUCACGCAGAACCCCGAUUGCGAAGGCAGCCUGCUAGGGUGCGACAGACGCUGAGGCACGAAAGCGUGGGUAUCGAACAGGAUUAGAUACCCUGGUAGUCCACGCAGUAAACGAUGAAUACUAACUGUUUGCGAUACAAUGUAAGCGGUACAGCGAAAGCGUUAAGUAUUCCACCUGGGGAGUACGCCGGCAACGGUGAAACUCAAAGGAAUUGACGGGGGCCCGCACAAGCGGAGGAACAUGUGGUUUAAUUCGAUGAUACGCGAGGAACCUUACCCGGGCUUAAAUUGCAACCGAAUAUGGCGGAAACGCCAUAGCUAGCAAUAGCGGUUGUGAAGGUGCUGCAUGGUUGUCGUCAGCUCGUGCCGUGAGGUGUCGGCUUAAGUGCCAUAACGAGCGCAACCCCUAUCGACAGUUACUAACGGGUCAAGCCGAGGACUCUGUCGAGACUGCCGGCGCAAGCCGCGAGGAAGGUGGGGAUGACGUCAAAUCAGCACGGCCCUUACGUCCGGGGCGACACACGUGUUACAAUGGCAGGUACAGAAGGCAGCCAGUCAGCAAUGACGCGCGAAUCCCGAAAACCUGUCUCAGUUCGGAUUGGAGUCUGCAACCCGACUCCAUGAAGCUGGAUUCGCUAGUAAUCGCGCAUCAGCCAUGGCGCGGUGAAUACGUUCCCGGGCCUUGUACACACCGCCCGUCAAGCCAUGGGAGCCGGGGGUACCUGAAGUGCGUAACCGCGAGGAGCGCCCUAGGGUAAAACUGGUGACUGGGGCUAAGUCGUAACAAGGUAGCCGUACCGGAAGGUGCGGCUG
rnacentral:rRNA from 1 species